rnacentral:rRNA from 1 species
AACGAACGCUGGCGGCAUGCCUUACACAUGCAAGUCGAACGGCAGCACGGGAGCAAUCCUGGUGGCGAGUGGCGAACGGGUGAGUAAUGUAUCGGAACGUACCUUUCAGUGGGGAUAACGUAGCGAAAGUUACGCUAAUACCGCAUAUUCUGUGAGCAGGAAAGCAGGGGAUCGCAAGACCUUGCGCUGAUUGAGCGGCCGAUAUCAGAUUAGCUAGUUGGUGAGGUAAAGGCUCACCAAGGCGACGAUCUGUAGCGGGUCUGAGAGGAUGAUCCGCCACACUGGAACUGAGACACGGUCCAGACUCCUACGGGAGGCAGCAGUGGGGAAUUUUGGACAAUGGGCGCAAGCCUGAUCCAGCCAUGCCGCGUGAGUGAAGAAGGCC